rnacentral:rRNA from 1 species
GACGAACGCUGGCGGCGUGCCUAAUACAUGCAAGUAGAACGCACAGUUUAUACCGUAGCUUGCUACACCAUAGACUGUGAGUUGCGAACGGGUGAGUAACGCGUAGGUAACCUGCCUGGUAGCGGGGGAUAACUAUUGGAAACGAUAGCUAAUACCGCAUAAUAUUGAUUAUUGCAUGAUAAUUGAUUGAAAGAUGCUAUUGCAUCACUACCAGAUGGACCUGCGUUGUAUUAGCUAGUAGGUGAGGUAACGGCUCACCUAGGCGACGAUACAUAGCCGACCUGAGAGGGUGAUCGGCUACACUGGGACUGAGACACGGCCCAGACUCCUACGGGAGGCAGCAGUAGGGAAUCUUCGGCAAUGGACGAAAGUCUGACCGAGCAACGCCGCGUGAGUGAAGAAGGUUUUCGGAUCGUAAAGCUCUGUUGUAAGAGAAGAACGGGUGUGAGAGUGGAAAGUUCACACUGUGACGGUAUCUUACCAGAAAGGGACGGCUAACUACGUG